GCACAAGAUCAACCAUCUCAGCAACCAAGGACACCCCUCAUUUCCCGUCCAAGGGGGAUUUCUGAUGAAGACAACAGCGUUGGGCUAAAGGGCAUCAAAUGGGAAGACUCUAUAGGACCAUUUGAUCUUGGAAUGCCUAUCUUGCGACCGGUUAGUAGUGGAGACAGUGUUAGCCUCAGCGAGUUCAGUAAAUAACAUAUUUAUGUAGUCUUGAACUGAUACCAUAGACACUAGGAAAAUUUUCCUCAGCUCGAGGAUCAAAUUCUUGAACAGUUGAAACUCUUGAAAAGUAAAAAUGAUGCUGUGAAUUGUCCAUAAAAAUAGCUAAAAGAACGAUAUUGUGAUUAUCAAAGACAGUUGUAUUUUUAUGUAAUAUUAGCCUUAAGUUGGGCUUUUCAUUUA